GUGGGGAAUAUUGGACAAUGGGCGAAAGCCUGAUCCAGCCAUGCCGCGUGUGUGAAGAAGGUCUUCGGAUUGUAAAGCACUUUAAGUUGGGAGGAAGGGCAGUAAGUUAAUACCUUGCUGUUUUGACGUUACCGACAGAAUAAGCACCGGCUAACUUCGUGCCAGCAGCCGCGGUAAUACGAAGGGUGCAAGCGUUAAUCGGAAUUACUGGGCGUAAAGCGCGCGUAGGUGGUUCAGCAAGUUGAAGGUGAAAUCCCCGGGCUCAACCUGGGAACUGCCUCCAAAACUGCAUGACUAGAGUACGGUAGAGGGUAGUGGAAUUUCCUGUGUAGCGGUGAAAUGCGUAGAUAUAGGAAGGAACACCAGUGGCGAAGGCGACUACCUGGACUGAUACUGACACUGAGGUGCGAAAGCGUGGGGAGCAAACAGGAUUAGAUACCCGAGUAGUCC
rnacentral:rRNA from 1 species